CAAGCACUUGUUGCCCGCUCCGGAUCUCCCUUACCUCUGUGGAUGCUGUUGAUCCCACCCACGCUGUUGGCCUCCCAAGUCUUCCUUAGCUGGGUUGUAAAGGAAGUCGAAGGCGGUAAGGGAUCGAUCCUAACGGGGUCAAAGAGUAGGCGGAGAGAAAGAGGGAGGCAAAGAAUGCCAUGGUGAGGCGACAACGAAAUCGAAAGGGGUCGGAGGUGGUGGAGGAAUUUGGAAGCGAUCAAACGGGUCAUCCCGUGAUGAGAUCAUGGGAAAAUUAAAAUCGUCAACGGAGGAGAGGAAGACAAAAUGCCGAAAGGCGGUGGAGGAGAGGGAUAAAGGGGUCAUCCCGUGAAGGGAUUUGGAAGUCAAAAUCAUCAACAGAGGAGAGGAAAACAAGAGGAUCGAGUUUCUUACAAAUUGAUAUCUCAGAUCUGUGAAAACUAGGUGGUCUAUGAAAAGCAGCAGCCUGCGCCGGCAGCGGCGUGGCAAGCACUGCACGCACAAAGGCGACGGCAAAGCAGAUCUAAUUUAUGGACAAAAUUAUAGUUUUGUACUAGGGUUUUCCUUUGAUCAAAUUAUAACUUUACC
rnacentral:lncRNA from 1 species